UCAAUGCAAGUAGUGUUGCCUUAGUAGAAUUUUCUAUGAAAGGUAUCACUUGUGGCUGUGGAGCUACUUGACUUUGUGUAGCAUGGUCCUUGCCACUGCAUUGUACAUUAAUGAUGUCUCCAACUGCUAAGUUGAUGCAGGCUGAAGCAAUGUAUAUUCCAUAACCUAUCCAGAGCCAUUCUGGCUAUGACUGGAUAGACAGACCAUGCAAAGUACAAUG